AUGAAGCACCUCCUCCUCCCCUCCCAGCUCCCUCUCCUCCUCCACGGCCGCGCCUCCAAGCCCCUACUCCUCCACGCCCGCCAGCGCCACCGCCACGCCCCAAGCGCGGCACCCGACGGCAACUCCGGCGACACCUCCACGGCCGCGUCCGAGCCGCCUCCCACGAACACCCAGCCCAGCCCGCCACCCUCCGCGCCUCCGUCCGCCAACUCCGGCACCACCAGCGUCAAGACCCGCCUCCGGUCGAGGAACCAGGCCCGCCGCGUCCAGGAGCCGUACCUGCCCCCGGUGGAGGUGAAGAUGAUGAGGGGCAAGGGCAAGGCGAACGCUUCCGCGGCGCCGAGGAGGGAGAAGGAGAAGCGGAAGAAGACGUGGGACGAGAUGAGCCUCGGCGAGAAGGCCUACGAGCUGUACGUCGGGGAGAAGGGCGCCCUCUUCUGGCUCAACAAGUUCGCCUACGCCUCCAUCUUCAUCAUGGCCGGCGCCUGGAUCCUGUUCCGCUUCGUCGGGCCCGCCACCGGGCUCUACCAGCUCGACGCGCCGCCGCUGGCGCCCACGGACGUCCUGCGCGGCUCCUAG
rnacentral:rRNA from 1 species